UACGAAGGGUGCUAGCGUUGUUCGGAAUCACUGGGCGUAAAGCGCGCGUAGGCGGUUUUGCAAGUCAGAGGUGAAAGCCUGGAGCUCAACUCCAGAAUUGCCUUUGAAACUGCAUGACUAGAGUACUGGAGGGGAUAGCGGAAUUGCUAAUGUAGAGGUGAAAUUCGUAGAUAUUAGCAGGAACACCGAUGGCGAAGGCAGCUAUCUGGACAGUCACUGACGCUGAGGCGCGAAAGCGUGGGGAUCAAACAGG
rnacentral:rRNA from 1 species